rnacentral:lncRNA from 1 species
AGGGUGAGUCCCUGGCGGCAACUAGUUAGCAAUCUUCCAGCGAAGCAAACCUACCACCACUGGUGUUAUGGACGUCUCCGUCUGUUGUGUUGGUAAGAUAAAGAUGAUGAUACAGCAUUGAAAAAUACCUACCAGUGCAGCCCUCAGACCAUCCGGUGCAUGGAUAUCCUGUGCCAGUGUGAUGACAUCCUGUGCCAGUGUGAUCUGAGUGCAAGCGUCCAAUUGUAGAGACUACAGCAGAUCGAGCCUGUGGACAGACAGUCUAACAAGAGUGCAUCCUUCAGACCAUCCGGUGCAUGGACAAUGUUAGACUGGAAAACAAAGAGACAUUUGGUCAGUGGUAGGUCUUUUUUUUAUAUGCAUGCCUGCAAAGCCAUUACACAACACUAAACAAUGCAUUAAUUGGACUAUAACGGUGACAAACAGUACCCACAAACUGUGGUGGCCUACAUAAAGCUGUCCUAACAGGAGUCCCAAAACCUUACAACCACUACACAUGGCUGUCAGCGGAGCCUUGUCUGGCAGCAAAACAGUUAACUCAGCCUCAUUUACUGCCUUUAAAAAAAACAUAGCUGAUAUGGCUGACUUGCUUAUAAAUGUUUUGGUUUCUACUGAAAAUUGAGAUGUACAAACUAUGGCAUAGGGGGACGACGAGCGGAUAAGAGGCAAUCCGUAAUUUCGAUUAAGACAAUGAGCGAGCUCGGACGGACGUAGUCAAUAUAACUAUUUGUUCAGGACUUUUGAAAUGUACAGCGACAGAAUUCAGAACAUGGGCCGUUCUUACAGUAUUCUCCCUGUACACCAAGUCAGAACCGUAGGAUAAAUAAAGGGGGCAUAUAAGCAGACAAUGAAAGCUCUUACAAUAUUCGAUGAUGACAUUUCUCUAAAACAGGCUAUAGGCUACAGGUGCACCAGCAAGUCAGAACAGUAGGCUAAAUUAUGAAGGGAAAAGGGACCAAAUUAAUAGGGUGAGGCACAUGGGCUACUAACAGCUUACUACACAACAUACACGUAGUAUUAAUGUCUUAGCUACAGUAUACAUAUCUCCCUGGCAUAUUACCUAAUUUAUGCAGCAGUAUACCAUUUUUGUACUCACCUUGUUUGGACUCACCUUGUGACAGGAAUGUCAUCGUCGUGUGUGUAGGUGGCAAGGAAGUCAGGCGCAGGAGAAACCAACUUGGUAUAACUGGAGUUGUUUAAUAAAUAAUAAACAAACACAAACUCCAAAACCAAUGUACAUAAAAAUAACAUG